rnacentral:lncRNA from 1 species
AUAUCAUUUGGUAACUUACCAUUCAUGCCACCAACCAGGUGAAGAAGGAACUCAUCCUCGUGCCACCAACCAGGUGAUGAAAUGUGAUGAAAGGUGAUGAAAGAACUCACUUUCGUACCACUAACCAAGUGAUGAAAGCAACUAACCAUUCAUUCCACCUACCAGAAGACGAGUGGAUCACUUAUGGCCAACAAGAGUUAUAGUCACCAAUAAUAAAAAACCCUUAAGCUUGACAAAUCAACUAGGGGCUCACUUAUGGCUAACAAGAGUUAUAGUCACUAACAAAGUCUUAUUGCAAGCCAACAACAACUUCAGUGCAUGGCAUACGAAGAUCAAGCUAUUUAGCCCUUUUGCAUCUGCUUCAGACAUUUCCCCUCUGUAACAAUGCAAACACUACAACUUGUAGAAAGCUUCACA